UGUUCCUACGGGGGGCAGCAGUGAGGAAUAUUGGUCAAUGGGCGAGAGCCUGAACCAGCCAAGUCGCGUGAGGGAAGACGGUCCUAUGGAUUGUAAACCUCUUUUGCCGGGGAGCAAAAAGCGGUACGUGUACCGCAUCGAGAGUACCCGGAGAAAAAGCAUCGGCUAACUCCGUGCCAGCAGCCGCGGUAAUACGGAGGAUGCGAGCGUUAUCCGGAUUUAUUGGGUUUAAAGGGUGCGUAGGCGGACGGUCAAGUCAGCGGUAAAAAUGCGGUGCUCAACGCCGUACAGCCGUUGAAACUGGC
rnacentral:rRNA from 1 species